rnacentral:rRNA from 1 species
UACGGGGGGAGCAAGCGUUGUUCGGAUUUACUGGGCGUAAAGAGCGCGCAGGCGGUCGUUCAAGUCGCGUGUGAAAGCCCCCGGCUCAACUGGGGAGGGUCACGCGAUACUGAUCGACUCGAAGGCAGGAGAGGGUAGUGGAAUUCCGGGUGUAGUGGUGGAAUGCGUAGAGAUCCGGAGGAACACCAGCGGCGAAGGCGGCAUCCUGGACUGGUCCUGACACUCAGGAGCGAAAGCGUGGGGAGCGAUCCGG